rnacentral:lncRNA from 1 species
AUAUUAUCUUUCAUCAUAGUUUUUAAAAUCUGCACUUUUACAAAUGUAGAGCAAUAGGAAUCAGAUUAAUUUUCUAACCACAACCCAGGGAAGGCAGGCAAUUUUCUCUCCCUGUGUGAUAUUGGCAAUGAACUAAGAUUCCGUGGCUUCCAGCUGCACAUCAGAUUUUCCGUAGGUCUUCUCUCUGGAAUAGCUGUUUGGGCCAAGUAUCUCUCCCAAGAAGAAGAAUAUUUUGUGUUUGGAAAAGAUUGUUCCCAUCAAGUUACCGUUGGUGAUGGGGUUUUUGUUUUUCGUUUUUUUUGAAAUAAUGACAUCUGCCAUCCUACAAACAUCAUAAAGAUGGAUUCAUAUCCAUCUAUUUUACUCAAAAUACCUGGUUCUUAAGAGAGUUCCGUUUUACACAGCAGCACUUCUCAGCUAAACGGAGUAAAGGAAAUGUUUUCAUUGAUCCUCUCUUCUCAACAGUCUUGUGCUAAAUGGAGUCCCAGGAUAAUUGACUCCAAAUCUUCCUGCAGGGGGAGGCAUCGUGUAGUAAUUAAGAGAAUGGCUGUGGCAAUGGAUUGGAUUUGAGGCUUCCUUCCAGAGCUUCCUAAGUGUGUGAUCGUGGGCAGGUUCCUCUUGCUAAACCCGUUCCCUUAUCUCUAAAAGAGGGAUAACAGUUUCUACCUUCCGGAGAGCUACAAUGAGGAUUAAAUGAAACUGUAAAUUAGUACCUAGCAGGUACUAAAUACUCCCGCAGCGAUCAGUUUAUCUGUCUGGCAGACCCUGGGUGGGGAAAGGGAGGUGACCUGGAUUCCUCCCAUUUUAUUGUCUCGGGGGUGGGGAGGGGAAGUCCUGGGUCAGUUAUCGGGAAACUAUUGCAUUGGUUCUGCCAUUAACAGGCUGUACGACUUGGGCAAGCGACCAUCCCUCUUUUUGGAGUCUGUUCCCUCAUUUAUUAAACAAGAUGAAAACCAAUAGCUCUUGAACACUGGAGGGACAGGCUUCUGUAUUUUUUUACAUGUGUGAAGUCAUUAAUUCCUCACUAUUAAGUAUUAUUUUUCCACGUACAUGGAGAGCUGCUAACUCCUGGGACAGGAAAUGCUUGCCCAAGGUCACACAGCAAGUGAGCGGCAGGUCAGGCCUCAGACCGGGGCAGCCUGACUCAGAAGCCCAGGCGCUUUGGGGCCCAGGAAUGUGGCCAUUCACACCAGGUUCACUGUCACCCACGCCAUCCCAGCACUAUUUGUGUUUCAGGGACUUAGCAAUACAUGGUCCAGCUUCUCUCAUUUGACAAACAGCAGAAAUGAAGGCCUGGCCAGGACAAAGAACUCAGGGUCAUACAAAUGAGCGGCCUAAAUGGCGGACCAGGAACCCAGGCCCCAGGGCCCUUCCAACCAGAGGGUUGGAGGUCCAUCCCUGAAUCUUUCCAAAAACAGAAAACUGCCCUUUCAUUGUCAAUUUGCUUGGGGUAACGGCAAAUCUACAACUCAGUUUGAUCACAGCCCUACUUUCCUCCUGGGCUCGGAAAUUUUCAGAGCUAACUUUGUGGCCAGGGCUUCGUCAGCUCCACUGACAGCUAAGAGGAGGCAUCUGGGAGUCAGAACGCGUUUCCUGCUCAUAAACACGAGACAGGAUGAGCCAGGACGAGCCAGGUUGUCCUGGGUGCUUUUGCAAAGACCCUCAUGCUCUUCGCGGACCCUCAGCCAGGCCAGCGGUAUGGCAGCAGCCGCCCCCCACCCAUUCCCCCGGCCCCAGACUCUUGCCCUGAGCUGGAGAACAGGCGAGCAUAAGCUGUCACCCAGAGAGGACACAGGUCUGUGCUUCCACUGGCUACGGCGCUCCAAAGGCGUAAUUGAAAAAGUGAAUACCUGUUAACAGUCCACAGCUUCAGAAGCCUCGCAUGCUCUUUCCCACUAGGACUCUCCUGGGCUUGAUUCUGCUUCCAUUCCUCCGGAACAGGAAAGCCUGUAUGGUCGUUCUCUGGGUGGUCAGGGGAAUCUUUGAGGGUUCUUGAGACCUUUUUUCGAGAGAUCCACUAAUAAAUAGCAAGACCUUAUGUGACUUUUUUUACCCUCCUUCUCUCUGGGGUUUUUCAGAGGCUCCAGGGCACUUCCCCUUGUGGCGCAGUGGAAACGAAUCCGACUAGGAACCAUGAGGUUGUAGGUUCAAUCCCUGGCCUUGCUCAGUGGGUUAAGGAUCCAACGUUGCUGCAAGCUGUGGUGUAGGUUGCAGAGGCGGCUCGGAUCCCGCGUUGCUGUGGCUGUGGUAUAGGCCAGCAACUACAGCUCCGUUUGGACCCCUAGCCCGGGAACCUCCCUAUGCUGCAGGUGCGGUCCUAAAAAGACAAAAAACAAAAAAAAACAACAAAAAUAUUACCUACGUAAACACGUUUUCUGUAAAAGAGUCCCCUAUACUUAAGAGUCUGUGCUGGGGGACGAAAGGAAACCAACCAGAACUGGCCCACACUAUGAAUAAAUCAUUAUACCAAUCAAUCAGUGGAUCAAUCUCCACAUGGUCUGGGUUCCAGCUGAGGCUCCCCUUUCCCUUCGAGCAGGCAGCCUCCUCGCUGGUCCACAGGCACUAGGGGGCUCCCAAGGGCCCUUCUGGUUUCAG